AGGCUUCGGGAGACUGGACAUCUUCUCAAGAUUCACCACAGGCACGAAAAGGCUACACGUGGAGAGACGGAGGUGGAGAGAGCAAUCGAGGGCUCCCCUCACCGCAAUGCUUCUGGAAAGCUUGAGGCUUCACCACCUGGCUGCAGUGGUUACACACAACCAAAUAGAAGUCAUCAUGGGCUGGGCAGUGCCCGAAGAUGGACAUGUC